UAUUGCUCUCUCUCAUUCUCUCUACCCAACCCAGAAAAACAUCCUUCGAUUCAGUUUCGUUUUCUUUUCUUGAUUUUUCCUUGUAGGUCUCUGUGUUCUUCCAACCUAGAAGAUAUCGGUUUUCAUUCUCAACUCGUUUUCUGUUUUAUCUUCUUUUUCUUCUAUGUGAUUUGAGAGGCAAGAUGAAUGUUUAGUGAUCGAGAGCAAAAGGAAUUGAUCGAAGAAUAGUUGUUGGCAGUGAUACUGAUUCGAGUGGUGGAUCCAGAAUCCGCUAAAAAGUUUUGCAGAUCUAAUUGAUUAUGACGUCGAGCUAUCUUACCUUCUUCAGUCACAUCCGAAUUAUUUGUUACCAAAAUUUGACGAAGGCGCUUGUCAAGCUCAGGGUUAUUUUGGAUGUUGAAAGACAAGGAAAUUGUAAGGAUUGGUUCAUGUUCAGAUUUAUAUUGAUGGUCAUAUUUUGGAGAAUCCAGAGGCUUGUCAAAGUAUUGGAAAAAUUAGAGUGAAACACAGGGGAAAGCUUCACACUCUCUAAGGUCUUUAGAAAACUUGGAUGAUGCAUCAAAGUUUUUGAAUGACAAAGUUACAAAAGUUGUUGUUGUUACAGUACCUGCCUACUUCAAUGACUCUCAAAGGACAGCAACAAAGGAUGCUGGAAGAAUUGUUGGUUUAGAGGUUCUUCGUAUCAUCAACGAGCCAACUUCUGCUUCAUUGGCCUAUGGGUUUGAGAAGAAAAACAAUGAAACAAUUCUAGUGUUCGAUCUUGGUGGUGGUACCUUUGAUGUUUCAGAUACUUCAUUCGAAUUUUGAAGUUUAUUUUUGUGCAAUUCAUUGUGUCAUAUGAGUGCAUGUAUUACCAAAUAUUGUUUUAGUUGUAGUCUUUUCAGUUUUCAGGCUUUUUGAAGAUGCCUAAUUUAGAAACAGGCUAGUUAGAUGUUAAAAUGGACACUUUGAUGAGCAGUUAUCUGUGGUUUAAGUGUAUUGAUGCUUUUGAGGUGUUGCUGAAUGUUCAAAGGAUUGAGAGUCAGACUCCAAGUUUUUAUUGAGCAUCAGUGUUUUAAACAAGCUUAUAUUGAAUACGCUUCUCUGCCUUUGUUGUAGUUCUCGAAGUUGGUGGUGGAGUAUUUGAGGUGUUAUCUACCUCUGGAGAUACUCGUUUAGGAGGUGAUAACUUCGACAAGGUUGGUG